CCUACGGGUGGCUGCAGUGGGGAAUAUUGGACAAUGGGCGAAAGCCUGAUCCAGCCAUGCCGCGUGUGUGAAGAAGGCCUUCGGGUUGUAAAGCACUUUCAGUGGGGAAGAAAGCCUUGGGGCUAAUACCCUCGAGGAAGGACAUCACCCACAGAAGAAGCACCGGCUAACUCCGUGCCAGCAGCCGCGGUAAUACGGAGGGUGCGAGCGUUAAUCGGAAUUACUGGGCGUAAAGCGCGCGUAGGCGGUCUGAUAAGCCGGUUGUGAAAGCCCCGGGCUCAACCUGGGAACGGCAUCCGGAACUGUCAGGCUAGAGUGCAAGAGAGGAAAGUAGAAUUCCCGGUGUAGCGGUGAAAUGCGUAGAGAUCGGGAGGAAUACCAGUGGCGAAGGCGGCCUUCUGGACUGACACUGACGCUGAGGUGCGAAAGCGUGGGUAGCAAACAGGAUUAGAUACCCUGGUAGUC
rnacentral:rRNA from 1 species